GAUGAACGCUGGCGGCGUGCCUAAUACAUGCAAGUCGAGCGAAGAGACGCGGCUCUUUCUCCUCUUACGUUAGCGACGGGCGGGUGACUAACACGUGGAUAACCUACCUAUAUGACUGGGAUCACUUCGAGAAACCGGAGCUAAUACCGGAUGCUCUUUUGAACUGCAUGGUGCAAUAGUGAAAUACCGUUUUGCUGUCACUUAGAGGUGGAUCCGCUACGCAUUAGCUUGAUGGUAAGGUAACGGCUUACCAAGGCAACGAUGCGUAGCCGAGCGGAGAGGGGGAUAGGCCGCACUGGAAGUGAGACGCCGUCCAGACUACUAAGGCAGGGCGCAGUAGGCAACGGUCCGCAGUGGGCGAGAGUCUUACGGAACAACGCAAAGUGAGUGAUGAAGAUCCUCGGAUCGUGAAACUGUGUUAUGAGGGAAGAACCAAUGUGUAAGUAGCAAUACACGAAUUGACGGUACCUAAUCAGAAAGCCACGGCUAACUACGUG
rnacentral:rRNA from 1 species